rnacentral:rRNA from 1 species
UACGUAGGUACCGAGCGUUAUCCGGAUUUACUGGGCGUAAAGCGUGUUCAGGCGGCCUGGCAAGUCGGGCAUGAAAUCUCUCGGCUCAACCGAGAGAGGCUGUCCGAUACUGCUGGGCUUGAGGACGGUAGAGGGUGGUGGAAUUCCGCGUGUAGUGGUGAAAUGCGUAGAUAUGCGGAGGAACACCAGUGGCGAAGGCGGCCACCUGGACCGUCCCUGACGCUCAAACACGAAAGCUAGGGUAGCGAACGGG